AGUAGCUGGGUGUGCCUGUGGGCUGGGGAGAAGGGGGUGUGGUACCCGGACUUCGGGAGAGAGUUGCUGUUUACCUGUGGAUGUGAGGGUGUGUGGUGAAGCACUACAGUGUCAAAAAGUUCUCAAGGUGCAGAGGGGAACCCCUAGACAGGCCUUGCCGGAAUCCUGCGGUGACAGAACAAGGAGUCUCAUUCCAUUCCUCCUGAAAAAAAGAAAAAAUAACUGCUGGGAAUUUCUGAGCAAGUGGCAACAGGGAGGUGGUGGCGGGAGCUGCCUUUGCCUUAAAAGGUGUGACGGAGCCAGGGACUUAGCUCACUUGGGGAUGGCCAAGGGGUGUGGAGCGGUGGGUGGCUGGCCACCACCUUGUGGGCUCGCCGCAAAGUGCUCUCUAGAGAGCCUGGAUCUUCACUGAUGGCCUUGCUGGUGAGGGCUGUGCUGCUCCACCUCUAUCCCCUGCCCAGAGGGCUCAGUCCCAUGCAGCUGGCAGCCCACCCUCCUCCAGGUGAGAACGCAGCUACUUGCUGGAGCUUCUGGCGGUCCCCCUGCCCUGUCUCCUGGCCAGUUCCCAGGAUCCCAAAGUCCCCUUCCCUUUUCUUUUUUUUCUGAAGUAGAGUCUCACUCUGUUGCUCAGGCUGGAAUGUGCAGUGGUGCAAUCUUGGGGCUCGCUGCAACCUCUGCCUCCUGGGUUCAAGUGAUUCUCCUGCCUCAGCUUCUCAUGUAGCUGAGAUUACAGGCUCCCACCACCACAUCCAGCUAAUUUCUGUAUUUUUAGUAGAGACAGGGUUUUGCCAUAUUGGCCAGGCUGGUCUUGAACUCCUGACCUCAGGUGAUCUACCCGUCUUGGCCUCCCAAAGUGCUGGGAUUAUAGGCGAGAACCACUGCGCCUGUCCUCCUUCCCUUUCAGGAGCAGUCUCAGGAGCCCAGGCCAGGUCACCGAUAGGAGAGAGGCCUGGUGCAAACCUCACAGGAGGCAGGAAAUUACUGUAGCCCUCCCUAUCGUCGAGCCUACCCUCCGACACCCCCAGUGGAUUCCUGGAACCGGAUAGUACCGAACCUCUGUGGAUUAGGCUUUUUCUCUCUGAUCACCAAGAGCGCUAUGAAGUGACUCACGGGUGGGAACGCCUACUGUGCGGAGACACUGGACAGAGGAACGAGUCUCGUUGCUGCGCGAUUUCGUCACCCUACUCAGAAUGGCAUGCUAUGUAACAUUAUGAAUUAUUUCUGAA